rnacentral:rRNA from 1 species
GGGUUGUGAGGUUAAGCGACUAAGCGUACACGGUGGAUGCCCUGGCAGUCAGAGGCGAUGAAGGACGUGCUAAUCUGCGAAAAGCGUCGGUAAGGUGAUAUGAACCGUUAUAACCGGCGAUGUCCGAAUGGGGAAACCCAGUGCAAUUCGUUGCACUAUCGUUAACUGAAUACAUAGGUUAACGAGGCGAACCGGGGGAACUGAAACAUCUAAGUACCCCGAGGAAAAGAAAUCAACCGAGAUUCCCCCAGUAGCGGCGAGCGAACGGGGAGCAGCCCAGAGUCUGAAUCAGCUUGUGUGUUAGUGGAACGGUCUGGAAAGUCCGACGGUACAGGGUGAUAGUCCCGUACACCAAAAUGCACAGGUUGUGAACUCGAAGAGUAGGGCGGGACACGUGGUAUCCUGUCUGAAUAUGGGGGGACCAUCCUCCAAGGCUAAAUACUCCUGACUGACCGAUAGUGAACCAGUACCGUGAGGGAAAGGCGAAAAGAACCCCGGCGAGGGGAGUGAAAAAGAACCUGAAACCGUGUACGUACAAGCAGUGGGAGCACCUUCGGGUGUGACUGCGUACCUUUUGUAUAAUGGGUCAGCGACUUAUAUUCUGUAGCAAGGUUAACCGUAUAGGGGAGCCGCAGGGAAACCGAGUCUUAACUGGGCGUUAAGUUGCAGGGUAUAGACCCGAAACCCGGUGAUCUAGCCAUGGGCAGGUUGAAGGUUGGGUAACACUAACUGGAGGACCGAACCGACUAAUGUUGAAAAAUUAGCGGAUGACUUGUGGCUGGGGGUGAAAGGCCAAUCAAACCGGGAGAUAGCUGGUUCUCCCCGAAAGCUAUUUAGGUAGCGCCUCGUGAAUUCAUCUUCGGGGGUAGAGCACUGUUUCGGCUAGGGGGUCAUCCCGACUUACCAACCCGAUGCAAACUACGAAUACCGAAGAAUGUUAUCACGGGAGACACACGGCGGGUGCUAACGUCCGUCGUGAAGAGGGAAACAACCCAGACCGCCAGCUAAGGUCCCAAAGUCAUGGUUAAGUGGGAAACGAUGUGGGAAGGCACAGACAGCCAGGAUGUUGGCUUAGAAGCAGCCAUCAUUUAAAGAAAGCGUAAUAGCUCACUGGUCGAGUCGGCCUGCGCGGAAGAUGUAACGGGGCUAAACCAUGCACCGAAGCUGCGGCAGCGACACUAUGUGUUGUUGGGUAGGGGAGCGUUCUGUAAGCCUGCGAAGGUGACCUGUGAGGGUUGCUGGAGGUAUCAGAAGUGCGAAUGCUGACAUAAGUAACGAUAAAGCGGGUGAAAAGCCCGCUCGCCGGAAGACCAAGGGUUCCUGUCCAACGUUAAUCGGGGCAGGGUGAGUCGACCCCUAAGGCGAGGCCGAAAGGCGUAGUCGAUGGGAAACAGGUUAAUAUUCCUGUACUUGGUGUUACUGCGAAGGGGGGACGGAGAAGGCUAUGUUAGCCGGGCGACGGUUGUCCCGGUUUAAGCAUGUAGGCUGGUUGUCCAGGCAAAUCCGGAUAAUCAAGGCUGAGGUGUGAUGACGAGGCACUACGGUGCUGAAGUAACAAAUGCCCUGCUUCCAGGAAAAGCCUCUAAGCAUCAGGUAACAUCAAAUCGUACCCCAAACCGACACAGGUGGUCAGGUAGAGAAUACCAAGGCGCUUGAGAGAACUCGGGUGAAGGAACUAGGCAAAAUGGUGCCGUAACUUCGGGAGAAGGCACGCUGGUGUGUAGGUGAAGUCCCUGCGGAUGGAGCUGAGACCAGUCGAAGAUACCAGCUGGCUGCAACUGUUUAUUAAAAACACAGCACUGUGCAAACACGAAAGUGGACGUAUACGGUGUGACGCCUGCCCGGUGCCGGAAGGUUAAUUGAUGGGGUUAUCCGUAAGGAGAAGCUCUUGAUCGAAGCCCCGGUAAACGGCGGCCGUAACUAUAACGGUCCUAAGGUAGCGAAAUUCCUUGUCGGGUAAGUUCCGACCUGCACGAAUGGCGUAAUGAUGGCCAGGCUGUCUCCACCCGAGACUCAGUGAAAUUGAACUCGCUGUGAAGAUGCAGUGUACCCGCGGCAAGACGGAAAGACCCCGUGAACCUUUACUAUAGCUUGACACUGAACAUUGAGCCUUGAUGUGUAGGAUAGGUGGGAGGCUUUGAAGCGUGGACGCCAGUCUGCGUGGAGCCAACCUUGAAAUACCACCCUUUAAUGUUUGAUGUUCUAACGUUGGCCCCUUACCGGGGUUGCGGACAGUGUCUGGUGGGUAGUUUGACUGGGGCGGUCUCCUCCCAAAGCGUAACGGAGGAGCACGAAGGUUAGCUAAUCCUGGUCGGACAUCAGGAGGUUAGUGCAAUGGCAUAAGCUAGCUUGACUGCGAGCGUGACGGCGCGAGCAGGUGCGAAAGCAGGUCAUAGUGAUCCGGUGGUUCUGAAUGGAAGGGCCAUCGCUCAACGGAUAAAAGGUACUCCGGGGAUAACAGGCUGAUACCGCCCAAGAGUUCAUAUCGACGGCGGUGUUUGGCACCUCGAUGUCGGCUCAUCACAUCCUGGGGCUGAAGUAGGUCCCAAGGGUAUGGCUGUUCGCCAUUUAAAGUGGUACGCGAGCUGGGUUUAGAACGUCGUGAGACAGUUCGGUCCCUAUCUGCCGUGGGCGCUGGAGAAUUGAGGGGGGCUGCUCCUAGUACGAGAGGACCGGAGUGGACGCAUCACUGGUGUUCGGGUUGUCAUGCCAAUGGCACUGCCCGGUAGCUAAAUGCGGAAGAGAUAAGUGCUGAAAGCAUCUAAGCACGAAACUUGCCCCGAGAUGAGUUCUCCCUGAGACUAUAAGUCUCCUGAAGGAACGUUAAAGACGAUGACGUUGAUAGGCCGGGUGUGUAAGCGCAGCGAUGCGUUGAGCUAACCGGUACUAAUGAACCGUGAGGCUUAACCUUACAACGCCGAAG